rnacentral:rRNA from 1 species
AGUCGAACGAGGAAGCUCCUUCGGGAGUGAUUAGAGUGGCGCACGGGUGAGUAAUGGAUAGGAACAUACCUAUAGGAGGGGGAUAACCAUGGGAAACUGUGGCUAAUACCGCAUAAUAUCGCAAGAUCAAAGGAAGCCUCUGCUUGCAUGCUUUCACCUAUAGAUUGGCCUAUUUCCCAUUAGCUUGUUGGUGAGGUAAUGGCUCACCAAGGCAUCGAUGGGUAGCUGGUCUGAGAGGAUGAUCAGCCACACUGGAACUGAGACACGGUCCAGACUCCUACGGGAGGCAGCAGUGGGGAAUCUUGCACAAUGGGCGAAAGCCUGAUGCAGCAACGCCGCGUGAGUGAAGAAGGCUCUUGGGUUGUAAAGCUCUUUCGGUUAGAAAGAAGGGUUAGUAGGUUAAUACCCUGUUAAUCUGACGGUACUAGCAUAAGAAGCACUGGCUAAUUCCGUGCCAGCAGCCGCGGUAAUACGGAAGGUGCAGGCGUUGCUCGGAAUGACUGGGCGUAAAGAGCGCGUAGGCUGGUUUAUAUGUCGAUUGUGAAAGCCCCAGGCUUAACCUGGGAAUUGCAGUCGAAACUGUAGAUCUUGAAUGCCCGAGAGGUUGGCGGAAUUCCAGGUGUAGGAGUGAAAUCCGUAGAUAUCUGGAGGAACACCGGAGGCGAAGGCGGCUAACUGGUGGUGCAUUGACGCUGAGGCGCGAAAGCGUGGGGGAGCAAACAGGAUUAGAUACCCUGGUAGUCCACGCCG